AUGGCGCAGCCCGACGAGGGCAACGAGGCACUGGAUCGGGAGACCACCUCUCUGCCCACGGCUACUCCAAUCAGGCAAUUUCCAACGAUUUCGAUAACUGGCCAGCCCUCGAUGAGCAGCACACCGGCGGCCUCUGCAUCAGAAUCCUCUCUGCCCACAGCUACUCCAACCAUGCAAUUGCCAAGAACUGAGACUAAUGGCCAGCCGAGAAUGAGCAACACACCAGUGAAUAAUCAAGACAUACAAGAUGCAGAUAAUGUUCCAAGAGUUGGGAAGUGCUUUCAGUCUGAAGAAGAGGCGUACCAAUUUUACAAUUCUUAUGCUCAAACCAAGGGAUUUAGCAUUAGGAAGUGCCGCUUGAAGUUUAAGGCAGAUGGGACUUUAAGUUCCAGAUAUUUUGUUUGUAGCAAGGCAGGUGUGAAAAAUGCUAAUCCAACACAUGUGGCCAAGAAAGAACAAGCUAUUUCGAGGACUAAUUGUAUGGCUCGAGUUCAAUUCAGCAUCAAUCAAGAGGGAAUUUGGACUGCUCAGAAAGUUACGCUCGACCACAAUCACCAGCUUGUAAGUCCAGAUAAGAGGCACAUGCUUAGAUCGCAGCGUCAACUCUUACAUGCCGAUCGCCACAUGAUUAAGCAAAUGAGGACAUCGGGAAUUAGACAAGCCGAAAUUUAUGAUUUUUGCGAGCUUUGGUAUGGUAAAGAUGCUAUACCCUUCUUGCAAAUGGAUUGCAACAAUUAUUUGCGAAGUGAGCGCUCAAAGUAUAUGGAAACCAAAGAUGCACAAACAUUAAUGGAGUAUCUAAAGAACAAGCAAGCUGAGGACCCUUCGUUUUUCUAUGCCAUGCAGUUAGAUGAUGAUGAUGGUACAAUAAUGAACAUCUUUUGGACUGAUGGACAAGCUAUCAUGGACUAUUCUGUCUUUGGAGAUGCCCUUUCCUUUGACACCACAUUUUCAACAAUGAUGCCAUUUAGAGCUCCUGAACGAAUAAAAGGUUCAAAGCAAAAAAAGAUCAAAAGAUGUGCUAGAGGGAGCAAAGAAAGGCAAAAAAAAAAGGAAAAGGUACAAACUAUCCGGCAAAGGAGUCCGUGUUUGUGCCGUCCGUAG
rnacentral:rRNA from 1 species